GGCCAAUCCCCUGCCUGCGUGUGUCCCUUUGGACUGUUGUUUGCUGUUUUCAGUGCUGGCACGUGUUCCUGUGGGGUUUUCUGGAGCUCACAUUGCGGCCGCUUUGGUUGGCAUAGGGUGCUUUUCAUUGGGCCAGUUUCUUUUCAUGGGCUGGUUCUUCUGUUCCCAUGUGUGAUCAUCGUUUUGGCCUUUUUGGGUCUCCUACAUUUCUGCUGCGCACCGGCCCAAUGGAGCUGUGUCCCUCCCACGCCACAGUGUCUCUGUCAGGUUUCUUGGUGGUGUGGCCUUCAGCUUCGGCUGCGCCGCCGCCGCCUGCUCCAGUUCGGCAUCUGCAGUUUCUUCCCUUCUUCCGUAAGCUCCGGUCCCUGCUCUUUUUCUGCGUUCUUCUUCGGAUUCACCCACCUCCUUUGUGCUGCGCUCUUGGGGGUUGGGGGCGUCUGGACCUUCCUGUUGCUACUUACUUCUGGUGAGAUUACUUAAUCCCUUCCUGUUGCCAUUUAGUUCAGGUCAGAUUAGUUAUUGCUAAUUCUAGCCUCUAUUCAUGUUCAAUAUUUAAUCACAUUUAGUUGAUUUGCCCGCUCUCAGUUACCACUUUUUCUUUAGUUCUUUGAUUCUGCUUGAUUCGUCCUUUUGCGCAUAUGAUGUCAAACGGAUUUUGCUAUUUCCAUUAUUUCUGCUUUACGCGUGCUAAUCCUAUGCACGGCUUUAUACUGUGUUCAGGUGCAUUAACUGCAUUACAAGCUCCUUGAAAUGGCAUUUUGUUAAUGUUCUCCUCAUUUGUAGCCUACAAUAGCUGUCAAUUUGGUAGGUUGUUUUGCUAUGCUCUGCUUUUCCUAUCACUAGGUUCUCAGUUUAGUGCCAUAGAGGUUUUUGCUACUAACAAUGUUCUUGGCCUGCGGUGGUAAUUUUUUAGGGGUUCCUAUUUUUGUUAUUUUGCCUAAGGAUUUUGUCUGCCCCUGAUGUUCAUUUAGCUAUGGCCCUAGCUUCCUAAAUUUGUUUGUUGUUUAUUUCCAUUUUUCAGUGCAUCUAUUUGUUUGCGUGAGUUGCGUAGCUGUCUUGGAGUCUAUUUUGAUGCCUUCUAAAAGGCAAAAAAAACUCAGUUGGCUCCAUGCACUUCAUCUUCUACAUCAGCUCAUUCUUGUUUGGUUGUUCGUCGCGUGCAUAAUAGUGCUCCAGCAGGUUUUCGUGACCUUAGGGAAGACCAGCCAGCUGCAUUUUUUAGUGCAGGUCUGCGGUUCAUUAGGGACCAUCUUGGUUUAGUGUGAUUCAUUUUUUGCUCGGUUGCUUCGUGUUCGUUUCUUUGCUCGAUGUGUGCUUUUUUUUUUGCUCAUCUGUGAUUUAUCUGUAUUUUUCCUUACAUGAAUGGUUGUUCUUAUAAGUGUUCAUGCUCUAUCAAGUGCAGCCUCCUCAGCUGUUCCUCCAUGGGGCAUCAUCGUCAGUUAGUGACUUCUCUUUAAUAUGCUAUAUAUUGUUAGCCAUAUAGAAUUUCGCAUCUCUACUGAGUCGGUUUGUGGUGAUGUAUUAUUCAUAUAGGGGACCAUUACUGUCCAUUGGUGCCACCUGCUGUUUGAAAUGAGAAUCGUGCUAAAAGAAUGAGUUGUAAUAGAGUCAAGGCGGCAGCGAGGCAAGGUAUCAGUUUAGAGGAGACUGACCAACUAUGAAUGGCCUGCUACCGACCAACUAUGAAUGGCCUGCUGCACAACCUGAAGACCCCCUACUUAUGCCGCUAUUUGUGCUUUUAUUAUUUAUAUUUGUAAUUGGUCUAUCUUUGUUUUGUCUCUACGAUGAAUGAUCGCAUGACUUGCCAUCUUUGAGCUUUAUGGCUAUUGCCAGUUGAUACCUACGUGUAUUGUAUAUUGGUUUGGCCUGCCAUAAAAAAUUUGGCUUUUCAUUAUUUGAAUUGUCUGACUUUGCACACCUGCCCUACGGGCGCGGGGUUAGCGCACCAAUAUUCCUAGUUCUCCAUCCGCAGCCAUCUCCGUCCCGCUCGUCCUCCUCCCUACACUGCCUAAGGACGCCCAGUCGGCGAUGUGGCGACCCCCGCAGGUGGGGCAAUCAGCAAGCCCUGCGCCAGCGCUGCGCGCGGAGGCGGCCGGAGGAGCUCUGGGGCGGCAGCGCACGAGGCCGGCAGUGAGCCCCGUGCGGCCGGCGGUGAGCUCGGGGCCGGCGUGCGCGGAGGACAGGCCGUCGCAGCUGUGCUCUGCGGCCCGUCACCGUCGUGCCUUUUCCUCCUCUCCUGAAGCCCGUCGACUAUUCGAGGGGAGUCUUGAUCUUUCAUUUGUUUUAAGCGUGGGAUGUUGCACAACUAAUUUUGAGAUGCUGCAAUAUUUGAGUCUUGAUGUUUCAUUUUGUUGAUCGAUGAUGUUGCAUGCAACAUUGACGGUGUUGCAAUAGUUUACUCUUGAUGUUUCAUUUGUU